rnacentral:lncRNA from 1 species
CGAUUAUCAACUAGUCAUUAUUUUACCACUUAAACAACAUUCACUAAUCAUCAAUUAUACCAUCUUCUAAUCAUUUGCCACCUUUUGGCCUUAUUCGGCCUCGCUAAUACCAAUUUCAUGCCAGACUACAUAUAAGUGUGUGUAUAUAUAUAUGAUAGCAAUACAUAGUGCAUAUUUGGACUUAAACCAAUAGAUGUACACAUAUGCACAUUAAUAUAAUCAUUCUUUGGCCUUGUACGGGAUUAAUACAUCAGCAUAAACAUCCUCCGACCUUACCGGGUAUGAAUAUGUCAUCAAAAUCAUCCUCCGGAUUUAUCGGGUAUCAAUAUAUCUUCAUAAUCAUCCCUUGGCCUUGCAUGUAUCAAUAUAUCAUCAUAAGCACUCUCUGAACUUGUCGAGUAUUAAUAUAUAAUCACAAUCUGUAUCAGAUAUCAAUAUAAAUAUAUUAAUACUAAUAAUUGAACUCAAAUGGAUAGCCACAUCAUCAUAGAUGAUGGAAAAAUCAAUAGCAUGACUGAUCAUUUUAUAAAUAUUCAUGAUCUCAAGCAUAAUUGAUAGCAUAACUUCCCAUAUAAUCAAUAAGUAUGAUUUCUAACUUUAUUCAUGGCACAAUUUCUAAUAUCAUCAACAGGGAUGUUCUCUAGCAUGAUUACUAACGUACUUUCUUAGCACAAUCAUAAUCAUAAGAAAUAUCAUGAGCAAUGGCUUACCAAUAGUAUAUUUAAUGGCUUAUCAUUAGUAUAAAAGAUAGUUUAUCAUUUGAAUCAUUUUAUAGUUAUCAAAGUAUGAUUUAUAGCGCAUUCAUAGAGAAAUCCAACCAUCUUUAUCAAUUAGUCCAUGAUCAUUACUUCUAAUAUCGUUACAACUAUAAUAAAUUACCAUGGUUCCUUAAUAUUUCCUCAAAAGGUCAUUCUCUAGGUAUUCAAAAAAUGUAUAAGGGUUUCAAGGGAACUAAUCAUCAAUCUUGACUUAAGGUGGGUAAAAGAGCCCACUUCUAAAUCUCUAAAAUACAUUCUAAGUCAAAUUCUACCCCGGACUAGGCUAAGGUAUCUAAAUCCACUAUUACAUGUAUAGCAAGCCACAAUUUGUCCUAUGGUAAUGGUUCUUCUCAAACACAACAACUAAGCCAAUAUAUUAACUAAAGCAACCUUCCUUAAUGAAAGAACUAAGGCCAAUCUUACCCUAAGUAUGGGUGUCUAAAGAAUUUUUAUCUAACUUGAGCGAUCUAAGGUAUUCUCAUGCUAAACAUGAUACAUGAAGCCUAAUUCACCUAAGGCAUAAGAAAACAAGUCAAAUGUCUUAAAUCUAUGGUUUCAAAUGACUUAAAUGGUCAAACUAACCACUACCACCCAGUCUUGCAUCUCAUCAAUCCAACAUCUAAAACUCAUUCCAAUCUAACAAGAUAUCAUAAACAUACUAUGACAUAGCUUAAUAUAAGAAGCGAUAAACCUAGCCUACCUCAAUGCUGAAAAAAACUCAAUGAACCGCUAAACCACCAUUUUCACCUUUCAAGAAACCUCCACAAGAGUCCAAGAUAUCAAAAACACAUUAUACUCAUCAAUAUGAGAAUAACAAUACCCAUAUUACACCAUUGUGCUUUGGGUCCAAAAAUCAUACCAAAUCCCCAUGUGGAUCCUACUUACGAAAAUCACAUUUCUGAAACCAACCCAACAUAAUAUCAAGCUCAAGUAAUCAUUACCCUAAAAAAUUGAUGUAAACUAAGCUAAAUUAGGGAUAAAAUCAAGCCCUUAAGGAUUUGGGGUUUUGAGCAAGAAAUAAAGAAAUUUCACCAAGAAAAGGGUGAAUUAUUACCUCAAAUCCAAAUAUAAUUGCAAAAAAUAAAUGUUAGUCUAGCUUCUCAAACAACAACAAGCUUCAAUUUUAAGCUAUCACGCUUUUAUGGUUUAUUCUCUCAAGAAAGGGGUGAGAAAUUGCUAAAUUUGCAAUAUUUGGGGUCUAUUUAUACCCAUACUAAGUGCUUGGGUCCCAUUAUCGCAGACCCAGACCUGCGAUCAUAACUUAUGACACUAGGAUCAAAUGUUACGAUCGUAACACCCCUUCUAACAAUUGCACCACGUUCUCUGCUACAGGUAUCGUAAUCGCGACCCUUGGCUUGCGAUUUGCAGCUUCACCAGAUGAUAGCUGAAACUUGGAAAAUCUUCCAAGUUUCUGUCAAGCCCUCAGGAUUCAUCCAAAAUCCCAUAUACAAAAUUGAACUAUGUAACCAUACCAAAUUAGAUGUUACAGAUUAUAUGAAGCACUCAGAAUUUAUAUCCGAGGUCUUUUUGACCAAAUGCGAGUCCCACACUCAUAUUUCAUUUUCUUAACUUUUAGACCAAUAGGUCAAAAUAAGCUCGAGUGCCUUGGGACCUAAACCAAGGAUCUACAUAGCCUAAAAUUGAUAUUUCAAGGCUGUUGGUGUAGUCAAAAUUUGCAUAUGAGAUCAUUUUGCUGAAGUUUUUUCCCCAUGGUCAUUUGGAACAAAUGAAGAAUUCAAAAUGGGGAAUUAGCUCUAAAAACCAAACAAACUACCCGGUAAUCAAACUGUCAAGUCCAAAAAGUCAUAAAUGUCUUGGGACAGCUCUAGAAAAGCUUUAGCGGCAAAAAGAAGCAGAAACAUAGAAAAUGACUUAAAGGGUCAUUAUAAAUCCUAAUCUUUGAUAUUAUGCCUACCACUCACUCAGACUCAUACUAAUUAAUGACCUCCACACAUGGUACAUAUUAUUUUAUUACAUACUUUCCCAUCCACCAUGUUUAUACCUACAAUUCUAUAACUAACUAUACACAACUAUGUACACAUAACUUACAACUCUUCCAAACUGAAAAAAAUCCCUCACAACACUCGGGCCUUUAGUACCCCCUCUUGAUAUCCCCAAACUAAGAUUUACAGACCCCUGAUCUUACUGAAGGUAUACUCUGGGUCUAACACUCACUCAUAACAUUCAUAGUCAUCUUAACCAUUCUUCUAACCAUCUAAUAUGCUUAUACUUAUUGGCCAACCUCUAGAUCAUGCAAGACUUAUAUCCUAAGGAGCAAAAUAAUUCAAUAACAUAUCAUCUAAUAUCAUACAAUCUAGGCCUAUUCCAGUUAUCACAUUCCAUCCAACAAAAAUCCAUGCACGAAAGCCUAAGGAAUGGAAUGUCCCAACAUUAAUAUCAUUAUUACAUGCAUCUAGGCCAAGCUACUAUAAUUAAACCAUAACCUAUUUGGUAGAUAAAUUUCAUUACAAAUAAGAGAGAAGUGUUGUCCCAUAUGUGCUUGGCCACUUCUAACAUUGGAAUUCUAUCAUAAAUGCUAUAGAAUCACCCUCAUGAAGCUCAAUUUCCAAUUUCUCAUUAUUCUAGGCAAUGGGUUCACUUAUGGUGUUUUUGAAAGAGCGAGAUGACAUAAGGAGAAUCAGCUAAAUGAAGGUUUCAAUUAGCCCUUGGUUUAGGUACUCCUUGAUUGCCGAUGUAGUGGCAGAAGUGUCACUACAACUUAGAUCUACCACUACAGUGGCAGGUCAGUGGCCUAGUGCAAUUUGUCAUAAUCCCAUGCCAAUUAAAUUUGGGAUACUUUUUCCCAUAAAGUAUGUUUUACAAAGACAAAAAAUGGAUUUAUUAAUUGCUACAUUUCCUGGGGAUUGUUUUUAAAAUGACAAUGAUUUGGGUUUUUAUAUUAGAUACCAAUUUACCCUCUAUUUAUCCUCAAUUAUAGAGAAAGGAAAAUAAUUUUAGCACUAUUCUUAAAAUUCAACGUGCAUGGUGAUUUGAAAAUGAAUGAUAUUAACUGCUAAAGAAAAUUACUAUCAUAAUUUAUGAAAUGUGUCAUUUGAAUUACUCAGUACACUGUAAAAUACUGUAAUUCAUGAAAAUUCAUAGUAAAUAAAACUUUAGGGAUCCUGCCUCUACAGCGGCAGACCUAUCAUUGUAGCAAUACUGCUACAUCGAUAGAAUUAUAUUUAUUGUGGAGUUUGGUAGUGACAAAUAGGGGAAAUAUUGAUUUCUCUUACUUUUAAAUCACACUCGUCAAAAAUCUCUGAAUUAUCUUUGAGGUAAUGUUUUUUCAAUGACAAUACAAUGUAAUUUCAUAUCCUGACUACUUCUUUUAUGCACUUAUCAUCAUAGAAUCACAAAAUCAAGAGUAGAAAAAGAAUUUUUUGGGUUGGUUUUCUUGGUGCAAUUUUUAAUUUUUAAUUUUGGUAGCUUUCUUGCUUGAUAUGAAAAGCAUGAUAGAUCUCCUGCGUAACACUCCAACAAUAUUCUAGGCUUAAUGCUGAUGUUGUUCAUGGUGUCUUUUGUCUUAGAAAGGGUGGAAGAAGAACAUUCACCCUUUCCAAUGAUUUAGAAUAAUUUGGGCAUGAUUUUGGGUGUUAGUCACCCCUAUUUUUGUGUAAACUAUUUCACACAUACUCUACCAAGUACAAUUUAUACUUAGAAAUAAAAUUUGAUGUGUAGUUGUAAUUCCGCUAUAAGAGGGUGGUUAGGACUGGCUGAGGAUGAUGGAACUACUUCACCAGUGGAUUUUUUGUUGCAAAGACACCACUACAACAAAGCUUCUGCCGUUGUGACGUCAACUAAUAGCUCCUCCAGAUUUCUUUUCUUGUUUUUGAAUUUUCUUCCCUUCCUAGCAUUUUAACUCAUUUUCUAAUGUUGUAAUAUCAAAAUUUUUAGGACUACUAUGGAUAAACAACCCUAAUAUAAAUGGUCUCCCAACUCUGCCAUUCAUGAACAUUAUGAGGAGAGGUUUCUCAAUAGAGGAUUCCUUCGUGAGAGAGGAUUUAUGAUGAAGGAUGUAGAGGAUGAGCCACCUGACUUCUACGACCAGCUUAAGGCUUUUAGUUGGGAAAUGCUAGCGGAGUCAGUCCCUAAAUGCAAUUUGGAUAUAGUUUGGGAGUUCUAUGACAUACUCCUAAUGAUGGUGAGUCUAUGCCCCUUCUACCAUCCACAUUCGAGGGAAAUACAUUCUAAUGGAUAAUAACACCAUCAACGAUACCUUAGGGGUUCUAGACCCCUCUAAUGCCCCCUUUACGGAUAAAAUUAUAGAGUCAGACUUGAAAUAGGUGGCACAAAACAUAGCUCCAGAUGAUGAUAAGGGUAAGGUAAAGUAGACUAGCUUCAAGGGGACCAAAAGAACUCCCUUUUCAUUAGAGGUUCAAGGAUUUCUGCAGUUGAAGUCUCGAUGGAUUCGACCUUCAGGAAAUAUGAUGGAUGUACCCUUCAAUAGAGCUACGAUAGUGUUCUCCACUCUAUUAGGGAUAUAUACUAAAUGGUGGGAUGUAGAUUAUUAUCAAAUAGCAGCAUUUAUAAACUAAGUGGGGUCCUUAAGGGAUCUAGUUUUUCCUUCUAUGAUCACCUAGCUAGUGUACAAAGGUGUGGAGGUGCCAAGGAAGUGCAUGAUACCUUGAAAGAACAAGAUGUGUCUUUCAAUAAAUUUAGUGGUAAAUUUUAAUAUAGAGGGAGAAAGAACAAUAGAAAGCUAGUGGAUCAGAGGAGCGUGAGAGUAAUAGGGUCAGAGAGGGAUAGCAGACUAGCACCACUCCUACAUCGACUCAUUUAUUCCUCGAUGGUUGGGAGACCGACCUCUUUGUUGUAUGAGGUUCCAUUAGCCUCCUCUAGGUUUGGCUUCUUAAAUCACCACUACUCCACCUUACUUGGCCAGAGCCAAUGCGGAGCUCCAAAUGGAGCUAGAUAAUAAGAAAAAGAAAAGGUGCACCCAGUAUUUCUUGAUGGUCAGACUAUGGAAGGUUGUGUGAGUUAUGUUUAAGCGUGUUUCCCUUACUAUAAAGUUCCCAAAGUUGUCAAAGAAGGAGGAGAGGAGUUCUCUUUUCUUAGCAUGAAGGAGAAAAGAUCUGAUGCUCAAGCCACGAAGAUAAGGACACCAUCUAGAUCCCUCCUAUUUCAUUUAGUAUUUUCUAGUUCUUGAGUUUUGGUAUGUAACAAAAAACCUAUUUCCUUUAAUUUAUUGCAAUUUUAGGACAUCAAAUGUUACCAUACAUUUUUCAAUUGUAAUUAACAAACACAGGGUCAUUUUUGCAAUGAAGAAAAAAUGUAAAAUAGGAAGGUUUGGCAGUCUUACUGCCUAGCGUUGCUAUGGUGAAGGAAUAACCGCUAUAGCGGCGAAAGUUCAACUGCAGCUAUAGUGUAGAAGUGGAAUAGAGCCUCUACAACAACAUUGUUGUGACACACACUGGUGGCUCUGAUUUUUCAACCUUUCCAUGUACUUUCUCACAUGAUGCUAUCUCAUGAACAUUUUAUUCCCUCUACCCCUCAUUCCUUAGAAAUUUUUAGACCAAGAAUGCCAAAUUUUAUAAGUCUAAGUUAUUGUUAAUACAGUUCUCAAUCCCUCAACUUAAUUCAACAUACUAAUAAUUCUAUUUCCACUCAACUUAAGUAAUUACUCGGCAUGAUAACUUACAUUAAUAAAAAGCAAGUUGCCUAGGUAAUUCGUCAAGAAGCAUAUGUUAAUUAAUGAAUACUUCAAAUCAUAGAAAAUUAAGACGUGUCUCAAAACAUAAAAACAAAGAUAAGCCCUAAAAUCACAACUAGCCCCUUAUAUUCUUGAGUUCCUUUGUAAUAACUCCCCCAUAUGGCUUAUGAUAAUCAUGUUCACCUUAGAAAGUUGAUUCACACACAUUAAGGCAUCACUAUAGCGAACAAUAAAGAUCCAUAUAAUACGUAUAUGUAAUAGCUAGUAGUUAAAAACAAGUAGUCUCAGCGAACAUGACCAGUCACUAAGAGAAAGGUCUGCCCAUUUUGCAAUAAUGAAAGAUACACCAAGCAAUAUGUCCAAAUCUAACUUAAAACAUUAGAAUACAAGUCAUAUGCCCCUUAUUGACCUCUAUUAAUGGGAAUAAUACUACUUUAACUUUCCAAAUAUUUUUGAGUUACCAGUUGGGACUAACUAAUCCCAAUUGUGUUUGUUGAGAUACUAAUUGUAAUUUGCUAGAUACAAUUAGACUCAAUUGAGAGAGGCAACACCAAUUAGAACUUUAUGAAAGUUAAAAAGUGAGAUAAAUUCUUAAAUGUCUUGUAGCUUUCUACAGAUUCAGUACCGAUGUCAACAUACAAAUUCACAACAAUUUAAUCAAUAUUUGCUCUUGUACUAGGAACCCGAUAACUUAGGCUUUGAUAUCAUCUUUUCAUGAACAAAACCAUAGAUCAUGCGGGCAUUUACACAACUCUACCCUAGAUGGGAGAACCCUUAUUACCAAAUAAUUCAUUAAGUGUGGAAGUUAAAUGAAACUAUAUUUUGAAGAAAUAAAUCCCUUACACAUGAAUAAAAUCCUAUUCAAAAUACAAUUAUUAACUAUUUACAAUGCAAAAUAAGUUAAUAAUGAUUGUCCAAAAACUAAUCUAACCGGUACAAGAGUGCUAAGAAAUGAAAGAGAGAAUCUGGGGCACAAUGUCCAUGUAAGAAUAUGAUUAUAUGAGCUACUGAAGAGUAAUAAUUGUCAUAGCUAUACAAAUUCCAACUGACCUAUAAUAUGGCUAUACCCCUAAUGGAGAUAUGGUAAGUGUAGUAUUAGUACAACCACAUGUAAUGGUAGGUAUCAUUGACCAACCAGGUUAGAAAUAGAUAACAACAAUAGAAAAUAGGAUAAAAUCAUGACACCAGUUAAAGAUUCGUAUAACAAAACCUCCCAAGGUAUCUUCAGGUCUUUGACAUAUUCCCUUUAGCAUCUACGUGGCCUUCCUGAUAUUUAACACUUUUGUGUAUCUUGUCCUUUGAUGAUUUGGCCCUACUCAAGUCUAUUAAUUCUUCACUAACAAACCUAUGAUUCUGUUCCUAAUUUGAGCAUGAUUCACUACCUUACCCCUAAAAAUUACUAACGAGACUACAAGCUUGACUAUCUAGAGUACUAUAAGGACUAGAAUGGGUCAGCCAAUUAUCUCUCAUACAUAUAUAAUACAAAUGCAAACAGAGGACAAUCUUAUCCCUACAUCGAAAUAGAUAUAAGAAUAAACAACACCUUAAUUACACUUAAGCAAUUCUCUUUUUAUAAUGAUAGCACCCUAUGUAUUUUUAAUAAAAUAAUGUGUGCAUGCAUGCAAAAAGUACACAAAUAGUAAAGUAAGAAAGGACUCUCGGAUAUGACCUGCAAGGGAUGAGCUCAGUCUCUGUACUAGUAUCGAUGUGGUACCCGAUCCAAUAAUAGUGUCUUUGUGACAUCCAAUCUAUAUAACAUCUCACUAUAAUCUAAACAACAACAUCGUCUCAAUAUCAUCUCAACACAAUCUCUUCAUCAUAUAAAUAUCCAAUUUUUAAUGUAACAAUGCAGUCAAUACUCAAAAGUCAUGCCCAAAGGCAAUCACAAACAUCUAAUUCACAUAUAAGCAUAGAGCCAAAUAAAUCUUUAAAACAAAAAACCAACUUCUAUUCUACCGCAGAUUAUACAAAUAGUUAUCUUACAUAAUGAUGCAAAUAUAUUCUUAUGUAUAUGUAUUUACAAAAGCAUAUAGUAAAACUAUCCCAUGUGACGCUAGACAACUUGCAUUCUCCCGAAAUAUGCUCAUACACUUAGUUAGCACUCAUGCCUCUGCUAGCAAUUCCAAUUUCAAAUUCUAUGCCUACUACUCACUGAAAGUUACACCAACUAAUGACCUCUAUCCUAGGUACUAAGUCCAUUUGUCACUAACCUUACCUCCACCCCAGUUAUAGAUAUAAACAACCACAUACACAAAGCUUACAAUUUUUUCAACUCUUGUAAACACCUCACAACAUUCAGGACUCUACUACCCCUACCCUAUUUUCCAUUAUCAAACUGAACUUUACUAAACCCCCUAUGAUUCUGACAAAGGUAUAAUCUAGCCCUAACUCUCACACAUAGAAUUCGUAGUCAUUUUAAUCUUUUUUCUAACCCAAUAAUAUGCUUAAAUUGAUUGAAUUGCCUCUAGCUCUCAAAAAACUUAUACACUUAGAUAAUUAAAUAGUAAUAAAAUUUAAUAACAUAUCAUCUGAUAUCACACAGUCAAAACCUAGUUUGAUUAUCAAAUUUUGUCCAACUAAACUCUAGGCCCAAAGCCUAAGGCAUGAAAUCUCCUAACAUUAAUAUCAUUAUACAUGAAUCUAGCCCAAGUCUACUACAAUUAAAUCACAACAUACCUCAUAGAUGAAUUUCAUUGCUACAAAGAGCGGAGACUUGUCCCAAUGUGCUUGGCCUCAUCAAAUAUUGGAAUUCCAUGAAAAAUGCCUCAGAAUCAUCCUCUUUUGAUCCUGAACUCCAAAUCCUCAUAUAUUAGGAAAAAUAUUCACUUGGGUUGUUUUCGGAGGAGGGAGACGACAUAAGGAUGAUCAACGAUAUAAGGGUUUCAACUAACACUCAUAUUAGGUAUUGCCCGACUACCACUGUAGCAGCGAAAGUACAAUUGCAGUGGUGGAUCUACCAUCGCAGCGACAUGUCAAUGGCUUGACCUAAUUUAUCCCAAUACCAACCCAAUUAGAUUUGGUCCAUGCUUUUUCGUAUGAAAUAAU